GCCCCGGCGUUCCGGGACCGGUUGGCCGGAGCGGCGCUGCGCGGGCCGGACGGGGUCGGCGGGGCCGGGUUCGACGCCCCGGCGGGGGCGCC
rnacentral:tRNA from 1 species